rnacentral:rRNA from 1 species
GGGGGGGGGUGGGGGGGGGGUUGGCGGAUGCGGGGCGAGCGGGAGGGCGCGGCUGGUGGGGGGUGCUCGAGGGGCGAACGGGUGGGUAACACGUGAGUAACCUUCCGUUGACUUUGGGGUAAAUUCAGGAAACUGGGGCUAAUCCCGGAUGGGCGCUUCUGGUGCAUGGGGGGGUGUGGAAAGUUUGGGCGGUUGGUGAGGUCUUCGCGGCUGAUGAGUUUGUUGGUGGGGGAGUUGCUGUCGACGGGUGUGACGGGUCGCCGGCCUGGGAGGGUGACCGGCAACAUUGGGACUAAGAGACGGCCCAGACUCCAACGGGGGGCAGCAGUGGGGAAUAUUGCACAAUGGGUGGAAGCCUGAUGCAGCAACGCCGCGUGCGGGAUGACGGCCUGCUGGUUGUAAACCGCUUUCGCCUGUGACGAAGCGUGAGUGACGGUAAUGGGUAAAGAAGCACCGGCUAACUACGUG